UACGGAGGGUGCGAGCGUUGUCCGGAAUCACUGGGCGUAAAGGGCGCGUAGGCGGCCCGGGAAGCGUGUGGUGAAAGGCUGGGGCUCAACCCCAGCUCGGCCGUGCGGACUUUCGGGCUGGAGUGCUGUAGAGGCGGGCGGAAUUCCGGGUGUAGCGGUGGAAUGCGUAGAGAUCCGGAAGAACACCGGUGGCGAAGGCGGCCCGCUGGGCAGUGACUGACGCUGAGGCGCGACAGCGUGGGGAGCAAACAGGAUUAGAUACCCUGGUAGUCCACGCCGUAAACGAUGGGCACUAGGUGCUCGGGGGAGCGACCCUCCGGGUGCCGGCGCUAACGCAUUAAGUGCCCCGCCUGGGGAGUACGGCCGCAAGGCUGAA
rnacentral:rRNA from 1 species